CAAAAUUGGGUUUAACGCACUUAGCAACAAGAUUACGCUUAUGUGGAAACACAAAGGCUCAUUCCAACUCGGAUUUGGAGAAUGAGUUUUACUGGAUUUGGAGAAUGAGUUUUACUUGGUUUAGUUUGAUGAUACAGAUGAUUACAACAAUGUUUUAAUAGGAGGCCCUUGGGUUGUUUAUGGUAAUUAUUUGACGGUUCGUCCAUGGUCUCUAGAUUUUUCAUCCACUAAUGCUGAUAUGAGUGUUCAAGUUGUUUGGAUUAGAUUACUAGGUUUAAUUGAAGGGUUCUACUCAAAGGUCUUGCUCAGAGCUAUUGGGCAGAUUAUUGGAUCGGUUAUCAAACUCAAUAUUAAUACAAAUCUUGCAAGGAGGGGUCAUUUUACUAGAUUAGCGGUCUGUGUUGAUUUGCAGAAACUGUUAAUUUCAAAGGUGAGAAUCAAUGGUCAAUUAUAGCGGGUUGAGUAUGAAUCAUUAUGAAACGUCUAUUUUCAGUGUGGUUUAUACAACUAUAGCUCUGAAGGUUGCAUUGGCACGAAAGAACCGUAACCGGGCAAGGAAAAUGAAUCGUUAGGAACAGUUGGGGUUUCAUCGGGUAUCUAGAAGUGAGUGGAGGAAGAGGCCUUUGGCCCUUGGAUGUUGGUUGAGAGGCGUCAUUGGGGAAAGGCCCGGAGCAACAGUGAACCUAGAAACGGUGGCCGAAGAGCCAAUCAAGGAGGAUCUAGAUUUUCAAUUCUGGGAAAGGAAGAUAGAUUAAAUUAAGACGUAUUUAGUGGGCAGGUUGAAAAUAUGAUGCAGGAGGGAUUAAAUGCUUCAUUGGGGUUUUUAAUGUAGGAGAUCGAAUGGAAAAAACGAUGGUUGAGGGAGCAAAUGAGAUUAGGAAGAUGGGGCCGAAUGGGAAAGGUAAAGGAGAACAUAGGCCUAAAGUUGGGCUAAAAAUUUUGAAACCCAUUAAUUCCAAUGGGGAAACACCUGGGCUCAACCAGAAAAAAUUUGAUAAUGGCUCCUCUAUAGCCCGUGAUAAGGUGGAGAAGGUGAUUGAUGUGGGAGGUUUCAAUCCCGUUCAGAUUUCGAAUCAUCUAAAUGCUAAAAAUCACCAGGCCAUUCAGUUUGGUGGUACACAACAGUCUGUUGUAUUGUCAGGCAAAGAAUUAAUGGGUAUGAUGGUGGGUAAGGAAAAAGGAUUGUUCUAUUUUGGAACUGGAUUUGUUGGAGAGGUUACACUGGAUUCGAAUCCCUCAAUCUUUGUGGAAGGAAAUGAAUAGUGGAAGAAACUACCAGAUAGUUCAUUUGUUGAUCUAGAAAUAGAAAUAAUAGACGUAGAGGUAGCCAUGGAAGAAAUUGUGGGUGGAUUAGAUAGAGAUCCUGCUAGCAUCAGUUUGCAAGUCAAUACAACCAUGGUAACUGAGCAGUUUGGAGGUAUGAAUUCAAUUAGUGCCGAAACUAGCUGUUGGUUCUAUCUUGUUGAGGGGUUUUAUCACUUUUUAUAUUUAUGGAUACAAAACUUAUUUUUUGGAACUGUCAAGGUGCGAGUUACCCCCGCUUUCAUAAUUUCGUUUCUGAUUAUAGGAAAGAAGUACAUCUAGAUGUCAUAUGUCUUUUCGAAACUCAGACUAGUGGUGAUUAAGUUGAUAAAAUUGUUUCAUGAAUUGGUAUGAAUAGAUCAUUUCGGAUUGAAGCAAACGGUUUUGUAGGAGGUAUUUAGAUCUUAUGGAAUGAAUCGAUUGCGGUGGACAUUGUAUGUUUUACUCCCCAAUUGGUGCAUAUGCGAAUCAUGAAUGUGCAAGGAUCUUUGUAUUUUACGUACUGCAUUUUAUGCUAGCCCACAGUCGAGAACGAGGAAGGGCCUUUGGAAAGUUCUUAAUAUCAUGGCUGAAUCAAUUAAAGAUCCGUGGUUGAUCGCCAACGACUUUAAUUCUAUUUUGGAUGGUUUAGAUAGAAUUGAGGGAGCGUCAAUUUCGCGGGUUGGCUGUAAAUGGUUUCAAGAAUUCAUUUUUAGCAAUAGCUUGCGCGAUUUGGGUUAUAGUGGUCCCAAAUUUAUGUAGAGCAAGGGUUUUUUAUCGUAGAGGCUUGACAGAGCUAUUUGUAAUUCUGAAUGGAACUCUUAUGCUCCUAAUUGUUUGAUACACAACCUCUAUCAUUUGAAAUCUGACCAUAGACCAGUCUUGGUAUCUUUUAAACCCGAGCUUACUAAGGGUUAUAGACCUUUUAGAUGUCUUGAUAGCUAGAUGUUGCAUAUGUUGAUUUUAAAGGACUUAUCAAACAACAUUAAAGGAAUGAUGAGGGGAUCAUGAAUAAGUUGGAGAGAUUUCAAAUUGCAAUUCAAGAUUGGAAUAAAAAAUUCUAUGAGAAUUUAUUUGUAAGGAAAUAGAGUUUACUUACUGAACAGAAUCAGGUGCAGAAAAUUCUUGACUUAAGAAUAUUGGUCAGACUUUAGAAACAGUAAUUGGAUAUUCUGCAGAAGUUAGAGGAAGUUCUAAAGCAUGAGGAGCUCCUAUGGUUCCAAAAUUCAAGAAUGAAAUGGCUCAAUUGUGGAGUUAGAAGUACUAGUUUUUUCCACAAGUGUACUUUGGCAAGAAAAAAGCGAAACAAGAUAGAUGGGAUCAAAAUUGGAAAUGAAUGGGUUUUUGAUGGGGAAGAGCUGCAAAAGCAUGCGAUGGAGUUUUUCAAGGAUCUGUAUUCCAUAAAUUAUUCAGUUCGUGGGGUAUUACCUUUUCAUGGUGCGUUUCCUAAAAUUACCUCGGUCAAUAAAGAUGGUUUGCUCCUCACUGUUUCUACGAUACACAUGGUAGUUUUUGAUAGAUUGGGACAUCUCAUCGACAAAGCUGUAAAACGUGGAAGUUGGUCACCAUUAUAUCUAUCAAGAAGGGGUCUUGUUCUAUCUUAUUUAAUAUUUGUAGAAGAUCUCCUUCUCUUUUGCGAAGCUAACAGGGUUCAAGUAUCUAAAGUAAAAGGAAUUCUAAGUUUAUUUUGCCCUUUCUUUAGUCAAAAGGUGAAUAAAAAGAAAUCCCAAGUGUUCUUCUUGUUGGAAAAA